GUCCUCUCUCGCGAGAUCGGAUUGACAACCCUUCUCCCCGCCCCUCUCCCGGCAUCCCCCCCUUUUCUUCUCCGGCCCCUCCCUUCCGUGCACACGCCCCUCCUUGCCUUCUUUCAGAUGGAGCGCCUCCGCGUCCAGUGACUCCAUCAGAAGCCUGCGAAGGGCAGCGUCGGUGAACAGAUUGGAAGAGGCGGAGUUUGCCGGAAAUAACCCCCAAGCCCCGCUAUGCUUAAAGCGGGAAAGUCAGAUAAGUACCUUCUAACCUUGGACGCAGCCUCUUGGGUUAACUGUCAAUCAGAUGCUCUGUGUCUAUAUGGUUUUUUACUCAUAACACCACGAUGUAUUGAGCAUAAACAUGUCAGCAGGCACUAUUCCUGGUGCUGAGGCUACAACUAUAAACAAGACAAAGUCACUUGAGGCUGUCAUGGGGAAGAUCAAUAAAUAUAUUUUUUAAAAAAGA